GACGAACGCUGGCGGCGUGCUUAACACAUGCAAGUCGAACGGCGAGGCGAACGGGUGAGUAACACGUGGGUGACCUGCCCCGCACUUCGGGAUAAGCCCGGGAAACUGGGUCUAAUACUGGAUAGUGUGGGAUGGGCCCGGGGCCUAUCAGCUUGUCGGUGGGGUAAUGGCCUACCAGGGCGGCGACGGGUAGCCGGCCUGCGAGGGUGGACGGCGCCAUUGGGACUGAGACACGGCCCAGAGGCCUACGGGGGGCAGCGGGGGGGAGUAUUGCACAGUUGGCGGAAGGCUGAUGCAGCGACGCCGCGGGGGGGAUGGCGGCCAUCGGGUUGUAAACUCCUUUCACCAUCGACGCGGUAGAUGGAGAAGAAGCACCGGCUAACUACGUGCCAGCAGCCGCGGUAAUAC
rnacentral:rRNA from 1 species